UCACGAUAGCGUAAAAGUUAACUCAAAUUUGUAUGGAGUUGGAACAUGUGCCUAGGUUUGCCGCUAGCGGCGCUGUUCCAACUGUAUACAAAUUUGAGUUAACUUUUACGCUAACGA
rnacentral:pre_miRNA from 9 species